UGAGGAAUAUUGGUCAAUGGACGCAAGUCUGAACCAGCCAUGCCGCGUGCAGGAAGACGGCCCUAUGGGUUGUAAACUGCUUUUGUAAGGGAAUAACCGCUCGUACGUGUACGAGUCUGAAUGUACCUUACGAAUAAGCAUCGGCUAACUCCGUGCCAGCAGCCGCGGUAAUACGGAGGAUGCAAGCGUUAUCCGGAUUUAUUGGGUUUAAAGGGUCCGCAGGCGGUAUAUUAAGUCAGUGGUGAAAUCCGGCAGCUCAACUGUCGCACUGCCAUUGAUACUGGUAUACUUGAGUGUAAUUGAAGUAGGCGGAAUAAGUCAUGUAGCGGUGAAAUGCAUAGAUAUGACUUAGAACACCAAUUGCGAAGGCAGCUUACUAAGUUACAACUGACGSUGAGGGACGAAAGCGUGGGUAGCAAACAGGAUUAGAUACCYUGGUMGUCCACGCUGUAAACGAUGAUCACUCGCUGUUGGCGAUAUAAUGUCAGCGGCCAAGCGAAAGCAUUAA
rnacentral:rRNA from 1 species